GGAGGGUGCAAGCGUUAAUCGGAAUUACUGGGCGUAAAGCGCGCGUAGGCGGUUGGGUAAGUCGGAUGUGAAAGCCCUGGGCUUAACCUGGGAACUGCAUUCGAUACUGCCCGGCUAGAGUAUGGGAGAGGGAAGUGGAAUUUCCGGUGUAGCGGUGAAAUGCGUAGAUAUCGGAAGGAACACCAGUGGCGAAGGCGGCUUCCUGGCCCAAUACUGACGCUCAGGUGCGAAAGCGUGGGGAGCGAACAGGAUUAGAUACCCUGGUAGUCCACGCCGUAAACGAUGAGAACUAGAUGUUGGGAGGGUUUAGCCUCUCAGUGUCGCAGCUAACGCGUUAAGUUCUCCGCCUGGGGAGUACGACCGCAAGGUUG
rnacentral:rRNA from 1 species